GAUGAACGCUGGCGGCGUGCCUAAUACAUGCAAGUCGAGCGAACAGACGAGGAGCUUGCUCCUCUGACGUUAGCGGCGGACGGGUGAGUAACACGUGGAUAACCUACCUAUAAGACUGGGAUAACUUCGGGAAACCGGAGCUAAUACCGGAUAAUAUAUUGAACCGCAUGGUUCAAUAGUGAAAGACGGUUUUGCUGUCACUUAUAGAUGGAUCCGCGCCGCAUUAGCUAGUUGGUAAGGUAACGGCUUACCAAGGCAACGAUGCGUAGCCGACCUGAGAGGGUGAUCGGCCACACUGGAACUGAGACACGGUCCAGACUCCUACGGGAGGCAGCAGUAGGGAAUCUUCCGCAAUGGGCGAAAGCUUGACGGAGCAACGCCGCGUGAGUGAUGAAGGUCUUCGGAUCGUAAAACUCUGUUAUUAGGGAAGAACAGAUGUGUAAGUAACUAUGCACGUCUUGACGGGACCUAAUCAGAAAGCCACGGCGAACUACGU
rnacentral:rRNA from 1 species